rnacentral:snRNA from 14 species
GUGCUUGCUUUGGCAACACAUAUACUAAAAUUUGAAACAUACAGAAAAGAUUGGCAUAGCCCCUCUGCAAGGAUGUCGUGCAAAUUCCUGAAGCAUUCCAUAUUUUA